rnacentral:rRNA from 1 species
GACGAACGCUGGCGGCGUGCUUAACACAUGCAAGUCGAACGAGUGGCGAACGGGUGAGUAACACGUGGGUGAUCUGCCUUCCACUUCGGGAUAAGCUUGGGAAACUGGGUCUAAUACCGGAUAGUGCAAGAUGGGCUCGCGGCCUGUCCGCUUGUUGGUGGGGUAAUGGCUACCAAGGCGCGACGGGUAGCCGGGCUGGGCGGGUGUACGGCGUCAUUGGGAAUGUGAUGCGGGCCAUACUCCUACGGGAGGCAGCAGUGGGGGAUGUUGGACAAUGGGCGGAAGCCUGAUGCGGCGACUGCGGGGGCGGGAUGAGGGGCGUCGGGGUGUAAAGCUCGGUUGUUAAGGAAGCGGUAGGUAGCCAGAAAGGGACGGCUAACUACGUGCCAGCAGCCGCGGUAAUAC